rnacentral:rRNA from 1 species
GGCGAACGCUGGCGGCAGGCCUAACACAUGCAAGUCGAACGAACCUUUCGGGGUUAGUGGCGGACGGGUGAGUAACACGUGGGAACGUGCCUUUAGGUUCGGAAUAACUCAGGGAAACUUGUGCUAAUACCGAAUGUGCCCUUCGGGGGAAAGAUUUAUCGCCUUUAGAGCGGCCCGCGUCUGAUUAGCUAGUUGGUUGAGGUAAUGGCUCACCAAGGCGACGAUCAGUAGCUGGUCUGAGAGGAUGAUCAGCCACAUUGGGACUGAGACACGGCCCAAACUCCUACGGGAGGCAGCAGUGGGGAAUCUUGCGCAAUGGGCGAAAGCCUGACGCAGCCAUGCCGCGUGAAUGAUGAAGGUCUUAGGAUUGUAAAAUUCUUUCACCGGGGACGAUAAUGACGGUACCCGGAGAAGAAGCCCCGGCUAACUUCGUG